GAGACAGACGCUCCCAGGUGUUCUGUAUUCAGGUCACCUCUGGGUGCAGGGUGGCUGCUGCUCCCCUGGGCUCUGUGUCCCAGGUCCUGCGAUGCCUGACAAAGGCUGCAGCCAGAUCACUGGGGCACAUGCGAGGAGGAAACAGAAUGGACAGGCCGCAACAUGCCAAGCCACUAAAAGGAUUGACGCUUUAUUCUUCAGAGGAGAAAUACCAUUGUGGGGUCUACGGACCUCUAUCUAAGGCUUGUUAAAACAAAACAGAGAUGCUUAUGCUCUGGAAAGACGCCCGGGAUCCACUGGGCAGAAUGGCAAAGGAAAGAUCCCCAGCACGGAGCUCAGACAGAUGUCCUCGGCGGAGCUGAGUGCGGGGGUACAGGGUGUGGGGGUGCAUCAGUUGUGCUCUGACAGGUGCACAGGGUCCCCUUUCCCUUUGGCACCUCGGCUGCCUGUGCUUCUGGACCAACUGCCUGUUGAGAAAGCCUCUCUGUGUCCAGAAGUGAACUAUGAAAGGCCCUGAGUGGAUGGACUAUAUGCAAGGCACAGGAAGGAGGCCAAGCCCUCAGGAGUGGCAUCCAUGUGCAUUUGGGGCAGAGUGACGACUGGAAAAGACUGACCACGGCCCAGGCUCCCUGCCUUUCAGCUGCCAGUCUGCUGGGAAGUCACUUCCAUGAGGGUGGGGAGAGGUGAUGGCUAUUGACACCCAAGUUACACCUACCAAUGACCCAGUGGCUUCGGGCCUCACAGGCAGUGAGUGGACAUCUAGGCACCUGGAAUGCACCUCUAGGGCUCUGUGCCCGGGCUCUGAACAAGGAGAGAAGCCGCCGGCCCUCCUCCUGACCACUUCACCUCCGGCAGGAGACUAAUGAUGCACCUAAGUUAAUUCACUCGACUCUGGGACUAUGAGGCAGUUCAUCCACACGCUCCAAACUCCAGCUUAUUGUAGGAGACCAGUGCCUCGAUCUCAUGAGGUCAUCUCGACGCCUCAGCUGUAACCCUUGGAGAACCUGUGGUCUCUGCUCCUCUGCCUGCUGACAUGAUCAUCCCAGGUGCAAAACAGGGAAUGUUGCAGGUUUGUUUCCUGUUCCUUCUCCACGUGCUGUGUGCCAAGCACAGAAAGCCUCAGUGACCAGCUACUGAAUUAACCAGAAUAUGAAUGAGAAGAAUGACAUUGGAGAAACAGCAGUGUGGCAGUUGGGGCACGGGAAGCAGUCCUGACCCCACUCUUAACUAGCCAUGCGCAAGUCCUGGGCCCUGGCUUCCUCAACACUGAGGCAGCAAAAGCAGAUUCAACAGUCACCACAACCCCUGUCGUGGCAGCAUUCUCUUUUCCUCACAUGGACAGAUGCUCACGUCGGUGACGAAGGCACUGAGGUGCCAAAGAGCUUCCCAGAACAUCAAGGGAAGACUGACUGACAGCUGGUAGAAUAAGUGACAAAUAUCCCUUUUCUUGGAAGACAAUUUAUGCGUGCUGAAGUGGGAGAAAUGUAUUACUAUGAACGCUGUCUUACUCAACUCUGUUGCAUAGCUCAGAAUUCAGUACAGGUAGAUUUAAAAUAGUCUUACAUACAGAGCAGUUUAAAAAGUAUUGUGGAUUUCUGAGUGUCCAGGUUGGAUCCUUGACACUUAAGCACAUCCACUUCUGUUAUGGCUCCCUCUGGCUACAUAAGCUUUGGUGAUUUCUUAAUGACCAAGUGAGUAGCUUGUAAGCAAGGCUGAGAAACAGGAAGAAGUCCUCUUUGGCCAUCUGGUAUAUUGAUUCAAGUGAACACCACUCACUGGUCACCUGCGGACCAGAUGUGGCCUGCAGGUGUUUCAUUUCGCCAAAAGAAAUAUUUUUCAAAUUGUAAUGGGUUGUCAACAUUUAAAAAUCAUAUUUUUAUAUGGAAAUAUGGAUUUAGUACUUCUGCUGAAAUACUGGAAGAACUGGCAAUCUAACAAUUUCUGAAUGGCAAUGACUGACCAGAGCUGAGUCACAACGGUUCCUGUCAGAGACCGGGGGUUCUCUCCAGUGGCCUCCGUUAUAUGACACAAAGAGGGGUUCACUCAUUUCCAUUCCUUUCUGGCUGCAGUGGGCACCUGCGUUUGCCACCUUUCUCUUAAACAACAAGGAAUUGCUGAAGCAGAAAUGCACAGCCAGGGAAGCAGCUGAUUUUCUCUCAUCUUUUUCCUCCUCAUUAGCAUCAAUAAUUAAGUUUGGGACUGAUUCUUUUUAUGUCUUCAUAGCUAAAGUAAAAACUUUUGUUAGGAGCUAGUAGAUACUUCCCACCUCUUCUAAUUCAUUUUACUAAGCAUUAAGAUAACAUUCCUGGAUGGGCACGGUGGCUCCCACCUGUAAUCCCAGCACUCUGGGAGGCUGAGGCAGGU
rnacentral:lncRNA from 1 species